rnacentral:lncRNA from 1 species
CUGUGAUCGGCACCCAAUUAAUCAAAGGCAUUCAUUGUUCCCAGGAGGAAGGUAGAGUCCAAUGCCAUGAAAGGAGCUACGCUGAGUGGAAGAACAUCAACUAUGUUUUUAAUGGUCAUUAAAUGAAGUCUCAAAAGUGAAGAUAUCCAAUCAAGUCCAAUCCCUGGAACAAUGUAGAAAAGAUGGACCUAAGAAACCAAAAUUGAAAUGUCUUUUUCAUGGAUUUAGUGCAGAUUCCCUUUAAGAAAUUGAUAAAUUUCACUGUGGACUGGUUGCUAGGAUACCCCUCAAAAUCUAUUAAAGUAAGCUCUUUCCUUUAAAGGACUGGGCAGGGUUUCCAUUAUUUCAAAAUGACUUUGAAAAUCAUGCUGGGUGUUCCAUCUAAGUGAAUGAAACAGGUAAAUGAAUGGCCCUUAAGAAAAAUAAAUGACCAUGAAGGAUCUAAAAAAU